ACCCUCUCUCUCUUCUCUCUCUCCCUCUCCCUCUCUCUCUCUCUCUCUCUUUUAAAAAAUCAGCCAUUUGGGGUUUUAAGCCAUAAACGAUUUUUCUUGUUGCAGGGGAUUGCAGUGGCAAAGCUAGGCUAGGUCUUGGAGGCUGGUGUAAGGCGAUGUGGGUGAAGGCAGGAGGCUGAUGGAAAGACUGGGGGGAAGAAAAGCCGAAAUGGAUUCACGGUGCCUUGGAUGAAGGACGAGAGGGGAACUGCAAGCUCCUUCAACUGGUUCUGUCCGGUGAGAAGUGAUCAAGCUUGGGCUGACAAGAGGCUCAGGGAGCCCUCACGUUCUUUCGCUUUUUUACCUGCCAAUCAAACUGCUACAAGACAACACCCUGAUCUGGCAUGGACAUAUCCAACUUAGAAAUAAUGUUUCAUUCAAGAUAAGGCUCGUGGCUUAGGAGAUUGUGACCUGGCUUGCAUCAUUCUAAGACUUCUAUCGUCUGUUUUCAAAACCCAAGGAGGACCUCCUUUUCUGUGUGAUAGUUCCUCAUGCUUUGCCAGCCACUGGGUCUUUAAGGAAGCUUGCCAAGAGUUCCCGGCUGGGAAGGACAGUUCGAGUUCAUCAUAGACAAUGAGCUGGCACCACAGUUUAAGUGACUCACCAACCUGGUUGCCCACUUCAAAAUGUCAAGAACCACACUAUCUAAUUGAAAGAACUGUGUUUUAGCAAAGUGUAAUUGGAUCGCCUGGCAAGAUCAUCUCAAACUAUGUCUCUGACCUUGCCUUUCAGUGGCUAUUUUGAGCACAAGAGGAGAAAGGAAAUGAUUCCUGAAUUAUAUCUUGUUUUUAAAAAUUAAGAUUAAUUAAUACUUGGUUUUAUGUUCAUUCCAUUGUAGGAACUUAGUGAUUAUUACAAAACAG
ensembl:lncRNA SOX2-OT SOX2 overlapping transcript